rnacentral:rRNA from 1 species
UACAACUUUCAGCAACGGAUCUCUUGCGUCUCGCAUCGAUGAAGAACGCAGCGAAAUGCGAUAAGUAAUGUGAAUUGCAGAAUUCAGUGAAUCAUCGAAUCUUGAACGCAUCUUGCGC